GAUCAUGCUCAGGAUGAACGCUAGCUACAGGCUUAACACAUGCAAGUCGAGGGGCAUCAGGGUGUAGCAAUACACCGCUGGCGACCGGCGCACGGGUGAGUAACACGUAUCCAACCUGCCCUUUACUCGGGGAUAGCCUUUUCGAAAGAAAGAUUAAUACCCGAUGGUAUAACAUGACCUCCUGGUUUUGUUAUUAAAGAAUUUCGGUAGAGGAUGGGGAUGCGUUCCAUUAGGCAGUUGGCGGGGUAACGG
rnacentral:rRNA from 1 species